GCUUUAAAUUGUCAUGAAUUCGUCAUGAUUUGUACAUCAAGUAUAUACAGUAUUCGUGAGUCUCCGGAAUUAUUCAGAUGUAUAAAUUACAAUGUCUAUCUCGAUUUACAUAUUUUCUCAUAUACCCCGAAAACGUAUCACGUGUUACAUAACAACCGUUUUGGUUUUAUUACCGAACGAGUGCCGCACCAGUGAAAUAAUAUACAAAAUGUAUUUUGCUGAUUGUAAGGCUUCGACGUCAAGGUCAUUAGACUGUGUACGGGUUUUGCGGUGUUGAUAUGAUUUUAUAAGCAUCUUCAAAAUACUUGUUUAUGAUAUUAAGAAUCAAGUUUAGCCCGAAGUAAUAUAAGAUUGCAAUUGGACUGCAGUGUGCGGAUUCAUUCUUGAUCAUUCAUGACUGACAUAACAAUAUAGGUACAACGUUUUCAUUGUUUUCGUCGUAUUGUAACUUCAUUCCAUAACGUUUAUGUGUCAAACCACGUGUUGGCGCACUAGCUUGAGAACGCCGCCGCCGCCGCCGCCGCCGCCGCUGCCGCCGAACGUCCGCCUCUUCCUUAUUCCACAACCGCAACCGAUUAACACACACCAAGUCGUCCCAAGUCGUCUUACAUGGUGCAGGCGCCUAAUCUACUUACCGGAAACGCCGUCGUCGUCCCGAUCGACGAACAUAAUUCUGCCAAUACAAUCCGUUCAUAUCGGAGGUAAUAACUUUCCAAAUACCAUACACGUCCGUUUAAGUACAGGUGCAACACGCGACCGCUGAUGGAAUGCUUCUUGUCAAGGUGUCCCUCGGCCCGUCGUUCGAAGUAGAAAAUCCGUGUUUUUAGUCACGUUUCCACGUCGCCACCACUUUAGUGAUACAACGACUUGGAAGUUUGCGUACGGAUGCUCAUUAACACAAUUCUAGAAUUCAACAGGAUUACAAUUUAAAUAAUCUGCCGAAAGAUUUAUAAAAUGGAAGAAAAUAAUGCGUCAACAGUAAAGCAAGGGAUGACCGGAGAUGAUUCAGGUUAUUCGUGUACAUCGGAUCUAUCAAAAAGCAGAUUUUUUUUCAGUAAUAGCAGCAAAUCUCGUCACAGUCAAAGCGCUUCUAGCAGAGACAGUUGUUUCGAAGAUCGAAGUUCGCCAACAUUAAAGUCAAACGAAGAUGGUAAAAGUUCCACGACGAUCUCUAAAUCUUCCGAAGAACCAGCAACACCAGUAAUAAUAAAAAACGUAUCCGAUGAUUCGGAAACAACGACGGCCAACCAGGAAGAAACAAACAGUGGCAGUUCAGAACCCGAACAAAUAGUCAUAAACGGUUUCGACCCACAGAUCAGCGAUAUUUUUGCAAUAGACAAUUUGAAACAACCGUCUUCGAAACAAGAAUCAGAGGCAGACAAGUGCCAUGCAAAAGACGAGCCCAAAGAAGACCAGGAUCGCGACAAUGGAGCUUUACUGCAAUUGGCUUCUCUGUGUCAGUCUUUCCGCGACUACUUGAAAACGAAACCCGAUUCCGCAUACACUAGUGAGAAGGCAUUAAAAGAACUCAACGAUCACGAGAUUCAGCUGAAAGAAAUCAUCGAGUCCAAUGAGACCAUUGACGACUCUUUCGGCGUGGUCGUGUCCAUGACCAACGGCAUGAUUGUCAACACGUCCAAUAGUAUACUUAAGAACUUGGGUUACCCCAAAGAUAUGUGGCAAGGGCGAUCGUUUAUUGAAUUUAUACAUCCUAAAGACAGAAUAUCGUUCAUCAGCUACAUGACAUCCGUGCUGACCAAUCCUUCAAUGGUCUCCGGACGAGAUGGUAAAUCCACUGUGACUUUUCUGCGAGCUAAAACCAACGACGGAUUCUAUUGCAAUAUGCGGAGAUACAAAGACCUAAACGCCGGAUUUUCAGUAGUUUCCAAAAAAAUACAUUACCAAGUAUGCAAGCUCACCAUUGCGUUUAAAGAGACCACAGACACCACGUGUCUCGUCGAGAUCAUAGCCUUACACCAACCGCAGUUACUACUGAUCAUCAAAGCACAACUAAUACACUCCGCAUACACUUGUCCCGAAGAAAGAAAAAAAAACCCUGUGAAUUUCAUCACCAAGCACAACGCUCUGUUGGAGUGGUGCUACGUUGACCAACUGAUAAUCUCGCAUUUUGGUUAUUUGCCACAAAAUUUAAUUGGUAGAUCUGUAUUCGACUAUUACAAUAUCGACGACUUGUCGAUUAUAAAGGAAAUUUAUGAAAACAUGAGCAAAGCUAGGAAUGUACCAUACAAAGGUAAACCGUACAGAUUCAAGUGCCAAAACGGCGAUUUCGCGUUGGUGCAAACCGAGUGGUCAAAUUUCGUUAACCCCUGGUCUGGACGGGUAGAGUUCAUAAUUGGCCGCCAUAAAGUCAUACAGGGUCCUCUCAAUCCCGACGUCACUACACCCGUCGAAGAUGUGUCGUCCGAAAAAGCAGCGGAAGACAGGAAACAUUCAAAAGAAGUGUCCGACGAGGUGAAACAAAUUCUUAAAAAGAAUUGUAUUGGAGCGACAAACGUUUUACAAAAACUUAAGUGUCCCGUGGAAACGGCCACAAAACUUAAACAACAGAUAUCGAACAAAUGUAAAGAUUUGGCGUUAUUUAUGAAUUUUCUGGUGGACGGCAUAGACCCGGCGAUACAAGUGCCGCUACAAGUGGAAAUACAACCCGAAACGUGCGAAAGUUUUUCUGACCACGAUUCCGUGAUGCUGGGAGAAAUAUCUCCACAUCAUAAUCAUGAAAGUAAAUCUAGUUCCGGCACACCGCCAAGUUAUACACAACUUAACUAUAACGACAACAUACAAAGAUUUUUCGAAAGCAACAUAAUUAGAAUACCGUCGGAGGCCAGCGUGGAUAGCUAUCCGAAGGCUACUAGCCAGGACGACGUUAUACUGCUAGAGAAGAACUUUGGCAAGCGCACCACAGAUGGGUUGUUGUUGAUGGAAAAACCGUCGUCGAUGGCAAACCACGCCUGCAAACAAGAAUCGUCCAGUUAUUAUUCGGAGCAGAAACCGUCUCACAUUAAUCAACCGCCGCUGACUCAAGCAAUGCUACUCCGCCACAACAAAAAAAUGGAAAACGAUCUUGUGAAACAGCACAAGACCAAUGCAAAACGUUUCAAGUCUGUCGAAAAACUAAAAAAGACCGCACAAGAAGAGCACAACGAUACCUCCGAUACUACUCACGGUGUGAAACGGAGCCACUCGAGCAUUCACGAAGGCAAAACGGCAAAACAGAGAAAACGUUUGCUGGUCAACCACCCGACUACGAUGAACGCGCAGACACAGGAUAGCGAAACGUCACCUAUGACUCCUACCGUGGCCAGGUCCACGCAAAUUUGGCCUCCCUGUCUAAUAAGUAGAGAUUCGCAAACAAUGGUCGACAUUCCGAACCCCAUAGUUCCCAAUCAGAUACUCUACUACAAGUUGCCACUGAGCAAUAACGUGAUGCCGGAGAGCCCGAUGGAUGAAGACAUCAACGCCUGUAGUGCCCUGGUAACGCCGAACAGCAAAGUUCAAGAAACCUUAAUAGGGCAGUUAAAACCAAUAGCAGUACCUUUAAUGGCUACCAUACCAGCAUUAAAUCAAAUUACACAAGACACUCAAAUAUUUCAACCAUAUUUACUCUUGCAAAAUCAGUCAUUUGUUCAACAGCCGUACAAUCAUAUUGCUCAGUAUCUAACAAAACUAGAUGACCACAGUGAGAAACCUCACAUCAUGAAAUCAGACCAGGCUCAGAAGAAAACGAAAGAGUCACAAGCACACCAAGAAGAGGUAGUGACGAGUUCCGAAUCGGAAUGUAGGCGAGAGAUUGGCAGUUUGAAAUCUAGUAAUGGUUGGAUUUUCGAAGAUAGUAGUCUGUACUCGUCGAGCGUAAGGGACAAGACCGACAGCUUUAAAAGUUACAUUAGUAGUGGAAAAGAUGACUUAUCGUGGCAAAACGACAUUGGUUUAGCUAAUAUCCGCCAACAGUUUAUUAAAAAGCAACCGUUUUGGAUGGAAGGCAUAGUGGCAACUCCAGAACUAAUAUUUCGCUAUCAGAUGCAACCUAGAGAUAUCAACGAAGUACUACAACAAGACAUGAAUGCGUUAAACGAACUCACUCAACCUAUAUUGGUUAGUGAACAGUUGCAACAGCUAUAUAUGGAAGUAAACGUGAAUGCGGCUGAGUCGAAACCAUUGAUGGUCGAAGAUGAAACUUCUUCGAGUAGUAGCGAUGAAUGUUUAAUUUCCAUUGGCGUGAAAAAAAAAUGAUAAGAACGACUUCAGCAAAAUGGCUAUGAUGUACGAAGAAAAUGCUCCAUUACCACCACCGAUCGAUAUACUCACACGAAAUGUUUGAGAGGUGUUCAAUAACCAAACUUGAAACUACCAAAUAGAUUUUGGACUUCGUCGAAGAUAAGAAGCAUAUUAUUCGCUCCUUAAAUUUGGUUUAUGUAUGUUGAAUAGCAUUAUUUAGUUUUAAGAUUACCUUUUAUGUUAUUAUUAGUAAAUUAGGUUACUAAUGCAAAGCAUAUUGCACAUUUUGUAACGAAGGCACUUGCCGACUAGGCAAUUAAAUGUUUUAUUAUUAUUA